UACGUAGGGGGCAAGCGUUGUCCGGAAUCAUUGGGCGUAAAGCGCGUGUAGGCGGUUCGGUAAGUCUGCUGUGAAAGUCCAGGGCUCAACCCUGGAAAGCCGGUGGAUACUGCCGGGCUAGAGUCCGGGAGAGGCGAGUGGAAUUCCUGGUGUAGCGGUGGAAUGCGCAGAUAUCAGGAGGAACACCUAAGGCGAAGGCAGCUCGCUGGAACGGUACUGACGCUGAGGCGCGAAAGCGUGGGGAGCAAACAGG
rnacentral:rRNA from 1 species